rnacentral:rRNA from 1 species
AGUGAACGCUGGCGGCAGGCCUAACACAUGCAAGUCGAACGGCAGCACAGAGGAGCUUGCUCCUUGGGUGGCGAGUGGCGGACGGGUAAGGAAUGCGUCGGAAUCUGCCUUUUUGUGGGGGAUAACGUAGGGAAACUUACGCUAAUACCGCAUACGACCUACGGGUGAAAGUGGGGGACCGCAAGGCCUCACGCAGAAAGAUGAGCCGACGCCGGAUUAGCUAGUUGGCGGGGUAAAGGCCCACCAAGGCGACGAUCCGUAGCUGGUCUGAGAGGAUGAUCAGCCACACUGGGACUGAGACCCGGCCCAGACUCCUACGGGAGGCAGCAGUGGGGAAUAUUGGACAAUGGGCGCAAGCCUGAUCCAGCCAUGCCGCGUGUGUGAAGAAGGCCUUCGGGUUGUAAAGCACUUUUGUCCGGAAAGAAAUCCUUUCGAUUAAUACUCGGGAGGGAUGACGGUACCGGAAGAAUAAGCACCGGCUAACUUCGUGCCGGCCGCCGCCGUAAUAC